rnacentral:rRNA from 1 species
UAAGACGAACCGUGCGAACGUUAUUCGGAAUCACUGGGCUUAAAGCGCGUGUAGGCGGGACGGCACGUCUGUCGCUGAAAUCCCCCGGCUUAACCGGGGAACUGGCGGAGAUACGACCGUCCUGGAGGGGCGUAGGGGGACCUGGAACUUCCGGUGGAGCGGUGAAAUGCGUUGAGAUCGGAAGGAACGCCCGUGGCGAAAGCGAGGUCCUGGACGCCUACUGACGCUGAGACGCGAAAGCCAGGGGAGCGAACGGGAUUAGAUACCCCGGUAGUCCUGGCCGUAAACGAUGGGCACUGGGUAGGGGGCUCGCCGAUGGGCUCCCUGCCGAAGGGAAACCGUGAAGUGCCCCGCCUGGGGAGUAUGGUCGCAAGGCUG